rnacentral:rRNA from 1 species
UACGUAGGGUGCGAGCGUUGUCCGGAAUUAUUGGGCGUAAAGAGCUCGUAGGCGGCCUGUCGCGUCGGAUGUGAAAGCCCGGGGCUUAACCCCGGGUCUGCAUUCGAUACGGGCAGGCUAGAGUGUGGUAGGGGAGAUCGGAAUUCCUGGUGUAGCGGUGAAAUGCGCAGAUAUCAGGAGGAACACCGGUGGCGAAGGCGGUUCUCUGGGCAUUACCUGACGCUGAGGAGCGAAAGUGUGGGGAGCGAACAGG